UACGUAGGGUGCAAGCGUUGUCCGGAAUUAUUGGGCGUAAAGAGCUCGUAGGCGGUUUGUCGCGUCUGCUGUGAAAACGCGAGGCUCAACCUCGCGCCUGCAGUGGGUACGGGCAGACUAGAGUUCGGCAGGGGAGACUGGAAUUCCUGGUGUAGCGGUGAAAUGCGCAGAUAUCAGGAGGAACACCGGUGGCGAAGGCGGGUCUCUGGGCCGAUACUGACGCUGGAGGAGCGAAAGCGUGGGGAGCGAACAGG
rnacentral:rRNA from 1 species